CAGUCGCCGCGGUAAUACGAAGGGUGCAAGCGUUACUCGGAAUUACUGGGCGUAAAGCGUGCGUAGGUGGUGGUUUAAGUCCGUUGUGAAAGCCCUGGGCUCAACCUGGGAAUUGCAGUGGAUACUGGGUCACUAGAGUGUGGUAGAGGAUAGUGGAAUUUCCGGUGUAGCAGUGAAAUGCGUAGAGAUCGGAAGGAACAUCUGUGGCGAAGGCGACUAUCUGGGCCAACACUGACACUGAGGCACGAAAGCGUGGGGAGCAAACAGGAUUAGAGACCCGCGUAGUCCCUGUCUCUUAUAC
rnacentral:rRNA from 1 species